UAACUGGUGACAGCUCAAGCUCUUGCUGCAUAGACGAGGGAAGGGAAUUGCUGAUAAGGCUUUGAACAAGGGACUUGUAAUGCCUGGCCUCUGGAUCUCAAUUAGUCUACGGCUAAUGUUGCCCGCAGCGGUCUGGAACAGACUGUCACCACCCCAGAGAGAGAGAGAGAGAGAGAGAGAGGAAUGAACAACACUAGAAGCAAUGAGGAUAAAGGGGAGCAGUGCUGAGGAAAGGCUCCUGCUUGGUGCUCUGGGGAGCUGAGCUCAGCCGCCCCUUGGAGAAUAACACACGGCAGAAGGGGGUCUUCCUGGUGCUUCAACUGAGAAAAGACUCAUUGAACAGCGAUGGGACAGUAACUGAGCUGAACUGAAACAUAACUGGGGAAAAAUCCUGAUUGUGUUUGCUCAAGAAAUGAUUUGCUCAGGAAAGGAGCCAGGAGCGAGUUUGAAUGGUGAUGGGGGUUCCUCGGCUGGACACUCUUCAGAACAGCCAUAUUCUUCCCGAGCUUUCUCUGUCUGCUUUGCUCCUCCCCGACGCCGGCCAUGGAAACCAUAUCUGAUUAUUCCACGCACACAGCGAUUGCCUCGAGACUGACCGCCGAGGAGCUGAAACGGCGAAGGCAUUGGAAGCAGCCAUGCCCAGGGGCUCCAGGUCGGGCUCAAGGCCCCACUGUUCAGGGCACUGUACAAACAAGUAUAAUAAAGACAGUCCCUGCCCCAGAAGGCUCCCGACCUAGGACUAUGACAAUACAGAACAGGGGAAU